GACACCACGUGACCACGCACUCACCACUCACCAGUUAAGAAGUUCACCCUAAAUCUAAAAUCUAAAUCCCUAAUUCUUAUUUCCCCGCCUGGCCGCCUCUUCAAUUUUCUCUCACGCUGCAUCUCUAAUCUAAAUCACAGUCUUCUCCGAUUUUCUGAAUCUUCGAUACUUUCUCUGUAAAAAAAGAUCUACGAGGCUUUGAUUUGCAACUGUGUCACUCUGCAAGUUCAUUUGGUUAUAGCAUUAUAGCAUGAGGUCUUCAAAUCAGUAGCCGCAAGAUAGUUGAUUAGUUGAACAUGUUGUAGUUUGAUUUUUCUUAAUUUUUGGUAAUGCUGAAUUGCUGAUGAAAGACUUACAUGACAUGGGUUAUUUUUGCUGGUAAA